rnacentral:rRNA from 1 species
UACGUAGGUGACAAGCGUUAUCCGGAAUUACUGGGCGUAAAGCGCACGCAGGCGGCGCAUUAAGUCUGACGUGAAAUCUCCUGGCUUAACUGGGAGGGGUCGUUGGAGACUGGUGUGCUUGAGGCGAUGAGAGGGGUGUAGAAUUCCCGGUGUAGUGGUGGAAUGCGUAGAUAUCGGGAGGAAUACCAGUGGCGAAAGCGACACCCUGGCAUUAGCCUGACGCUCAUGUGCGAAAGCGUGGGGAGCGAACAGG